rnacentral:rRNA from 1 species
UACGUAGGGUGCAAGCGUUUAAUCGGAAUACUGGGCGUAAAGCGUGCGCAGGCGGUUUUGUAAGUUUGUACGCUGAAUCCCGGGACUCGAACCUGGGAAUGGCGAUGAAGACUGCAAGGCUGAGAAUCUGGCAGAGGGGGGUAGAAUUCCACGUGUAGCAGUGAAAUGCGUAGAGAUGUGGAGGAACGACCGAUGGCGAAGGCAGCCCCCUGGGUCAAGAUUGACGCUCAU